rnacentral:rRNA from 1 species
UACGUAGGGUCCAAGCGUUAUCCGGAUUUAUUGGGCGUAAAGCCCAUGUAGGUGGUUUAGUGCGUCUUGUCUUAAAGCUCCGAGCUCAACUCGGAAUCUGGAUGAGAUACGGCUAAGCUUGUGGUCAGCAGGGGCAAACGGAAUUCCCGGUGUAGGAGUGAAAUCCGUUGAUAUCGGGAGGAACACCAAUGGCGAAGGCAGUUUGCUAGGCUGAUUCAGACACUGAGAUGUGAAAGCGUGGGGAGCGAACGGG